GGAAGAGAAGUAGCAGAGCUCUAAAGGGAGAAUUAUUUUUUUGCAGUUUCCCCCCAUUUCAUCGCUCGUGGUGGAUAUCCACAUGUUCCAGUACCCUAUUUCAAAAAGAUGAUCUUUUCUCCUUUGAGUUGCCUUGGUAAUCUCAUACGGAAGUCUGGCUUCAGCAGACUGCUCACCGAGGCAUCCUGUGUCAACAUUUGCAACUGAGAUGCCACGGAACUGUCCACUCAUAUCGCCAGCCUGGCGUCUCUCCUGUGCUGCCGUAUGAAUCUCAAGGGCCGUCUUCUUUGCACCGAGCGACAGAUGAUAUUGGUAGUGAAAACACAAAACACGGAGUCAAGAAGAACUGGUCGCUUCACAUGUCGGUCCUGCCGGGCACUAACAAGG